rnacentral:rRNA from 1 species
CCUACGGGAGGCAGCAGUGAGGAAUAUUGGUCAAUGGGCGCGAGCCUGAACCAGCCAAGUAGCGUGAAGGAUGACUGCCCUAUGGGUUGUAAACUUCUUUUAUAUGGGAAUAAAAUGUUCCACGUGUGGGAUUUUGUAUGUACCAUAUGAAUAAGGAUCGGCUAACUCCGUGCCAGCAGCCGCGGUAAUACGGAGGAUCCGAGCGUUAUCCGGAUUUAUUGGGUUUAAAGGGAGCGUAGGUGGAUUGUUAAGUCAGUUGUGAAAGUUUGCGGCUCAACCGUAAAAUUGCAGUUGAAACUGGCAGUCGUGAGUACAGUAGAGGUAGGCGGAAUUCGUGGUGUAGCGGUGAAAUGCUUAGAUAUCACGAAGAACUCCGAUUGCGAAGGCAGCUUACUAAACUGCCACUGACAUUGAUGCUCGAAAGUGUGGGUAUCAAACAGGAUUAGAUACCCUAGUAGUC